AGAACGAACGCUGGCGGCAUGCCUAAUACAUGCAAGUCGAACGAACUCUUCGGAGUUAGUGGCGCACGGGUGCGUAACGCGUGGGAAUCUGCCCCUUGGUUCGGAAUAACAGUUGGAAACGACUGCUAAUACCGGAUGAUGACGAAAGUCCAAAGAUUUAUCGCCAAGGGAUGAGCCCGCGUAGGAUUAGCUAGUUGGUGAGGUAAAGGCUCACCAAGGCAACGAUCCUUAGCUGGUCUGAGAGGAUGAUCAGCCACACUGGGACUGAGACACGGCCCAGACUCCUACGGGAGGCAGCAGUAGGGAAUAUUGGACAAUGGGCGAAAGCCUGAUCCAGCAAUGCCGCGUGAGUGAUGAAGGCCUUAGGGUUGUAAAGCUCUUUUACCCGAGAUGAUAAUGACAGUAUCGGAGAAUAAGCCCGGACUAACUCCGUGACCAGCAGCCGC
rnacentral:rRNA from 1 species